CCGUAGCGGAGGAGAAAAACGGUCUACUACAAUUCCCUAUUAAUAGGGAAUUGUAGUAGACCGUUUUUCUCCUCCGCUACGG
rnacentral:pre_miRNA from 1 species